GACGAACGCUGGCGGCGUGCCUAAUACAUGCAAGUCGAGCGAGCUUGCCUAGAUGAUUUUAGUGCUUGCACUAAAUGAAACUAGAUACAAGCGAGCGGCGGACGGGUGAGUAACACGUGGGUAACCUGCCCAAGAGACUGGGAUAACACCUGGAAACAGAUGCUAAUACCGGAUAACACCACUAGACGCAUGUCUAGAGUUUGAAAGAUGGUUCUGCUAUCACUCUUGGAUGGACCUGCGGUUCAUUAGCUAGUUGGUAAGGUAACGGCUUACCAAGGCAAUGAUGCAUAGCCGAGUUGAGAGACUGAUCGGCCACAUUGGGACUGAGACACGGCCCAAACUCCUACGGGAGGCAGCAGUAGGGAAUCUUCCACAAUGGACGAAAGUCUGAUGGAGCAACGCCGCGUGAGUGAAGAGGGGUUUCGGCUCGUAAAGCUCUGUUGGUAGUGAAGAAAGAUAGAGGUAGUAACUGGCCGUUAUUUGACGGUAAUUACUUAGAAAGUCACGGCUAACUACGUG
rnacentral:rRNA from 1 species